rnacentral:rRNA from 1 species
AGUCGAACGGCAGCACGGGUGCUUGCACCUGGUGGCGAGUGGCGAACGGGUGAGUAAUACAUCGGAACAUGUCCUGUAGUGGGGGAUAGCCCGGCGAAAGCCGGAUUAAUACCGCAUACGAUCUACGGAUGAAAGCGGGGGACCUUCGGGCCUCGCGCUAUAGGGUUGGCCGAUGGCUGAUUAGCUAGUUGGUGGGGUAAAGGCCCACCAAGGCGACGAUCAGUAGCUGGUCUGAGAGGACGACCAGCCACACUGGGACUGAGACACGGCCCAGACUCCUACGGGAGGCAGCAGUGGGGAAUUUUGGACAAUGGGCGAAAGCCUGAUCCAGCAAUGCCGCGUGUGUGAAGAAGGCCUUCGGGUUGUAAAGCACUUUUGUCCGGAAAGAAAUCCUGAGGGCUAAUAUCCUUCGGGGAUGACGGUACCGGAAGAAUAAGCACCGGCUAACUACGUGCCARCAGCCGCGAUARUACGUAGGGUGCGAGSGUUAAUCSSAAUUAMUGGGCGWAAAGCRUGCGCAGGCGGUUUGUUAASACCRAUSURAAAUMYYYRGGCUCRMCCWGSGAACUGCAUUGGUGASUGGCAWGCUAGAGUAUGKCASA